UACGUAGGGGCAAGCGUUGUCCGGAUUUACUGGGCGUAAAGAGCGUGUAGGCGGCCGCGCAGGUCCGUUGUGAAAACUGGAGGCUCAACCUUCAGACGUCGACGGAAACCGUAAGGCUAGAGUCCGGAAGAGGAGAGUGGAAUUCCUGGUGUAGCGGUGAAAUGCGCAGAUAUCGGAAGGAACACCAGUGGCGAAAGCGGCUUCCUGGUCCAGCACCGACGUUCAGGCACGAAAGCGUGGGAGCAAACAGG
rnacentral:rRNA from 1 species